UUUUUUCUUUUUUUUAUAAUAUUACUUAAUUUAUUACUUUUAUAAUAUUACAUAAUAUUACUUAUAGCAGUAUUCCUGAGGUUUCUAGCUAGGUCAAGAACAGUUUCCAUUUAAUAAACUUAAUGGUUCUAAUUUCCCUAUGUUAGAUAUUGUUUCCUUGUAUACCAAUGUUCUCAUAGAACUGGCAACUGGAGCAUUGUUAAAAGAUCAUUCCAAUGUACGCAGCUACGGAAACCACAGAGAAUACUCAGAAGCAGCUUAUGAAUCCACUCUUCAUAGCGAUCGGCACAUUCAUUAGCAUGGCACUUCUAUUUAUGAUGGGUGUAUUAUUUUUACCGAAACUGCCACACUUGGAACUUUUCAACGCACGAUUAGUCAACAAUGAUGACUUUUUGCGUUUAACAACAUUUGUAAUGAAUGCCAUAGAUGAACGCAAUCGUUGGCAGAAUUUCAAUACAACUAGCUGAGAGUACAUAAAGUCAAAAGUACUGCAUUCUUACAUUAGAGAUGGAAAAUAUUAUCGAAUGUAUAUUCUGUAUAAAAUGUUUAAACCGAUCGAUAAAAGAAAAAAAAGAAAUAUUUACUAUA
rnacentral:sRNA from 1 species